rnacentral:rRNA from 1 species
GCAGCCAUGCCGCGUGUGUGAAGAAGGCCUUCGGGUUGUAAAGCACUUUCAGUCGUGAGGAAGGUGGUGUUGUUAAUAGCUCUAUUAUUUGACGUUAGCGACAGAAGAAGCACCGGCUAACUCCGUGCCAGCAGCCGCGGUAAUACGGAGGGUGCGAGCGUUAAUCGGAAUUACUGGGCGUAAAGCGCAUGCAGGUGGUUUGUUAAGUCAGAUGUGAAAGCCCGGGGCUCAACCUCGGAAUAGCAUUUGAAACUGGCAGACUAGAGUACUGUAGAGGGGGGUAGAAUUUCAGGUGUAGCGGUGAAAUGCGUAGAGAUCUGAAGGAAUACCGGUGGCGAAGGCGGCCCCCUGGACAGAUACUGACACUCAGAUGCGAAAGCGUGGGGAGCAAACAGGAUUAGAUACCCUGGUAGUCCACGCCGUAAACGAUGUCUACUUGGAGGUUAUAGCCUUGAGCCGUGGCUUUCGGAGCUAACGCGUUAAGUAGACCGCCUGGGGAGUACGGUCGCAAGAUUAAAACUCAAAUGAAUUGACGGGGGCCCGCACAAGCGGUGGAGCAUGUGGUUUAAUUCGAUGCAACGCGAAGAACCUUACCUACUCUUGACAUCCAGAGAACUUCCAGAGA